AAGCUGAUCCUGCAGGAGCAGGUGAAGGAACUCUUCAACGAGAAAUACAGUGAGGCCCUGGGCCUGAACCGGCCGGUGCUGGUCCCUUAUAAACCUAUCCGGGACAGCCCAGACACCAUGGAGGUCACAGGUCUGCCUGAUGACAUCCCCUUCCGGAACCCCAACAUGUACGACAUCCACUGGCUGGAGAAGAUCUUGAAGGCCCGAGAGCAUGUCCACAUGGUCAUCGUUAACCAGCUGCAACCCUUUGCAGAAAUCUGCAAUGAUGCCAGGAACCAGGUAAGUCGGAGGUGAGGAAGCCACCCUCCUGCCCCAUGGGGACUAGAGACUGUUCCUUUUGAAAAAAGGUAGAGCCGAGUGCAGUGGCUCACACCUAUAAUCCCAGCACUUUGGGAGGCAAGCAGAUCAUUUGAGGUCAGGAGUUCAAGACCCGCCUGAGCAACACGGUGAAACCCCAUCUCUACUAAAAAUACAACAAUUAGCUGGGCGUGGUUGUGGGCACCUGUAAUCCCAGCUACUUGGGGGACUGAGGCAGGAGAAUUGCAUGAACCCGGGAGGCGGAGGUUGCAGUGAACUGAGAUCACGCCCCUGCACUCCAGCCUGGGCGACAGAGUAAGACUCCAUCUCAAAAAAAAAAUGAAAAAGACAGAGACACCAGGAGUUGCAGGCUGCAGUGAGCUAUGAUUGUACCACUGCACUCCAGCCUGAGCAACAGAGCAAGACCCUGUCUCUAAAAAAAAAAUUUUAAUAAAUUUUUUAAAGGCAGAGAUAGAUGUGGUCCAGGUGGGCAUGCAAUAGACGGCUUACCACCUUGA